AUUGAACGCUGGCGGCAGGCCUAACACAUGCAAGUCGAACGAGUGGCGGACGGGUGUGUAAUGUCUGUGAAACUGCCUGAUGGAGGGGGAUAACUACUGGAAACGGUAGCUAAUACCGCAUACCAUCGGAUGUGCCCAGUUGGGAUUAGCUAGUAGGUGGGGUAAAGGCUCACCUAGGCGACGAUCCCUAGCUGGUCUGUGAGGAGGACCAGCCACACGGGAACUGAGACACGGUCCAGACUCCUACGGGAGGCAGCAGUGGGGAAUAUUGCACAAUGGGCGAAAGCCUGAUGCAGCCAUGCCGCGUGUGUGAAGAAGGCCUUCGGGUUGUAAAGCACUGUCAGCGAGGAGGCGUUACUAGCAGAAGAAGCAACGGCUAACUCCGUGCCAGCAGCCGCGGUAAUUC
rnacentral:rRNA from 1 species